GCUCAGAAUGAACGCUGGCGGCGUGCCUAACACAUGCAAGUCGGAUGUGCCGCAAGGUGCAUGGCAGACGGGUGAGUAACGCGUGGGGAACCUACCUCUUUGUGGGGAAUAACGCUCCGAAAGGAGUGGUAAUACCGCAUGAGACCAUCGGCUGGGAUGCUGGUGGUGAAAGCUGGGGACCGUAAGGCCCAGCGCAAGGAGAGGGUCCUGCGUCUGAUUAGCUAGUUGGUGGGGUAACGGCCUACCAAGGCAUCGAUCAGUAGCCGGCCUGAGAGGGUGAUCGGCCACACUGGAACUGAGACACGGUCCAGACUCCUACGGGAGGCAGCAGUGGGGAAUUUUGCGCAAUGGGCGAAAGCCUGACGCAGCAACGCCGCGUGGGUGAUGAAGGUCUUCGGAUCGUAAAACCCUGUCGUCAGGGACGAAGGUCGCAUGUCUAAUAGAUGUGUGGCUUGACGGUACCUGGAGAGGAAGCCCCGGCUAACUCUGUGCCAGCAGCCGCGGUAAUACAGAGGGGGCAAGCGUUAUUCGGAAUUAUUGGGCGUAAAGGGUGCGUAGGCGGUGGUUUAAGUGAGAUGUGUAAUCCCCGAGCUUAACUUGGGAACUGCAUCUCAGACUGGAUCGCUAGAGUGCUGGAGAGGGUGGUAGAAUUCCACGUGUAGCGGUGAAAUGCGUAGAGAUGUGGAGGAAUACCAGUGGCGAAGGCGGCCACCUGGACAGUAACUGACGCUGAGGCACGAAAGUGUGGGUAGCAAACAGGAUUAGAUACCCUGGUAGUCCACGCUGUAAACGAUGAACACUUGGUGUGGUGGGAGUUGACCCCUGCCGUGCCGUAGCUAACGCGAUAAGUGUUCCGCCUGGGAAGUACGGU
rnacentral:rRNA from 1 species